AUGGAAGCCACCCGCGCAUGUCCUUACUGGGUAUGGCUCAUCGUCGCCGGGCUGAUCUUCACUGUCGCCUUCGUCCUAAUCUUCGUCUUCGUGAUACCCGGCGACAUCUUCUACUCCAUCGCCAUCGACUCCGCCUCCGGCCUCGACCCGCCGUCGCCCACCGACUUCUCGCUGGCCCGCCCAGAGUUCAACCUCACCUUCCGCGUCACCACCGACGGUCUUAGGCGCACCGUGUGCGUGGACGCUGGCAUCUACGUGGAGGUUUCCUACCGCUGCGUCCCGCUUGCCGCCAGCCCCGCCACGCCGCACCGGAUCUGCGUCGCGCCGGGGAAGGGGAGGGACGAGCCCAUGUUCGCGAGGGGAGCCCGCAUCCGCCUGCCGGGGUACAUGAUGGACAGCCUCGCCGCCGACAUACGGAGCGGGGUGGAGGCGUUCGGCGUCACGCUCAAACAGUCCUCCGGUGGUGCUCUAGCCGGCGAGGGCGAGAAUGUGGCAAAGUGUGGGGCUAGGCGGGUCGGGGACGUCCCCACCAGGUGCGAUACGUUGUACACGUGCCCCGAUGGGGACCCAUCAAGGAGUGCUCCAGACUCUGCUGCUGCUUCCCCAAGAAGUACCCCAGAUACUGCUGCUUCCCCAAGGAGUACUCCGGACUCAGCUGCCAUUGCGAAUGCUUCUCGACCAUAG
rnacentral:rRNA from 1 species